ACUUUAUUGUGGUAAACGUUUUACAAUAUAUACAUGCGUCAAAUCAUCACCUGGUAUGAUGCGAGCUCGGUGAGCCAAGGAGUCGAAAGAAGGAUUUCUUGGACUCUCAAGGUCUGGUAGUAGUGCGCUUUCAUUCAGAGAACAGCGUGGAGUAGCCCGGGGACAGGACCCAUGGGCAGUGAAGGGCUUCAAUGGGUUGAGGGUAGGGCUAAAUUUAUAAGGCAUAGGUAUGUGAGUUAUUUUUUACUAAACAAAGGAAAGAUCAUGUAAAAAAGUCAUUAAAAUGGUAUCAGUGCAGGUGGGGUCUGGUUAUCUGGUGGUCCUAUAACUUAGGAUGCAAAUCAGAUUGGAUCAGGUCAGGAUGUCCUAUGCUUCCUGGAGGAUGAUAUAGAUCAGUAUGUAGGGCAGGACGCCUUGGGCUUCUCUCCUUGGGGCAGCCUUGAUCCUCAUCAGUAUACUCCUUAAACUUAUACAAUGUUAUAUGUCAAUUAUAUCUCAGGAAAGCUGGAAAAAAUCUAAAAAGAAGAAGAAAAAAGGAACCCUCCACAGUGCUCUUUUUAGAGAAACAGACGGAGUCCUGCAAGUAGAGAGGAAGAGGAUCAGAGUAGGCAUCACAUGGUGGGAUGGUCUGGGGCAGAUGUGACAAGCUGCAAAGACCCUGAUGGAAAGCCACACAGUGCCUGGACGCAGCUGCCCCUGAGCCCCUUGACAACGGAGCCCAGACCUCCUUCAGGCUGUGUUUUCUCGAGGACACGAAAAGUCCUGACCAGAGCCGUUUCACGGCAGGCGUUCCCUCCUGCUGUCAUCCUUCAGUGUAGCUUGAAUCUGCCGGCCAUCCAAGGUCACUGCGGGCCCUCUGAGAGCGCCUUUGAUUUAACAUCUUCCUGUCUCUGGAACCUCAGGAAGAGAUUACACUGUACUGGAGCCAGGUUCUGCCAACGCUGAUGAAGAAUGUUCUCACACCCUGCCCUCCUUCCCGUGGCCACCUUCACCGACACGCAGGCCCUCCUCGUGAGAGCUGGGUUCAAGGGACUGUGAAAGAGUCAUGUAAGAAGACUGUCUGCCCUCCAGGACCUAGAAGGUUUUGUUUUUUUUUUCCUUCCUCUGAUUGGAACCUGUAGUAUCAACUGACUGCCUGGGUUUAGGUCAUCCUUGGAGAACGUCUAGUGGGAUUGCGGGAGAGGGUCUUCUGAGAAUGCGUGGGGAGGAAGCUAUUAGGGGACACACUUAUUUCAGUUCCAGGAAAUGAGACUUCCCAGGUAAAUUCUUCUUGUCAGAAAACAGCUAGGGAGGGAAUGGAGGGAAAGAUAGACAGACAGCAAUUUUUUAAAGACAAGUCAUGUUUAAUUCAGGACAAGAUUUAUUGCCAAAAUAUGCAAAGUAGAUCUUUGAUGACAAUAGUAAUAUUUAAUGAGAUGAAAGAUUUACCAAGAGCCAGGCUGUGUUAAACUCUUCUUUCAUUUAUUCCCUACAAGAAGCUUGUGGACUAGGUUCUUUCACCAUCUCCAUUUUAGAUGAGGAAAUGAGGUUGACAAACAUGAAGCAAAGUGCUCAAGGCCACGCAGCGGUAGAUGCAGGAUGGGAAUUUCUGAAUCUGUGCUUCUAGUUGACAUUGUUUUCCCUUUGCACUUUGGGCCACAUAUGCAUAUAUAUACGCAAACUGGGUAAAUCCUGUUCCAGGAUUAAAAUCAAUAAUUGCUUUUUUUCUAGGUUUAAAAGAAUUUUCCCUACUUGAACCUGCAUUGCCUACCUCUGGAGCAGGUUUGCUCACCCACUAAAUUAUGCUACUUGACAAACUGAUGAGUCCCUGUCCCUACCUUCCAGGUCCACCUCCCAGGCCCACAGCACAGGCAGAGGUUUGCUCUUUCUAGAGGGUCUAGAACCCUCGACUAAAACUCCAGUUCCCUGCUCACUGACUUUAUGUGCAACUCAAGGGCCUCGGUUUUCUGUUUCUUCCCAAAGAUUCUGCCUUCUGGCCAUGCUUCCAGCCUCAUUGCCAUUUCCCUGGUAAUGAUUAUGGGAUUCUUGAGCCAUCUUUCAAUUGGAGUUCACCCUGCCUUUUUGCGUUCUGCAGGGCAUUUGCGGAGGGAGCACUUGGAAGGAAGUUUAGGUUUUGUUUAGCAGUUUCUCUCAAUGUUACCUUCUCAUUUCUGGCCUCUGUGCAAACAAGAUUGCAUAUAAGACUCAAGCCCUGGGUCACUCUGUAGCUAACUACAGUCCUUCAACAUGUAAAGGCUCUUGUCAGGAUCUCAACAACACCCUUCCAUGGCAUCUAGAGAAGUUUCAUUGAAAGGAAGGCAUAUUUCUUCAAAUUUUAGUAAUUUCUUAAUGGAAGUAAGUGGAUUGCAUAGUUUGUUCCUAUAUUAGAAGUUAGAGAGAAACCAAAGUCCCUCAUAGCAACAGUAUUAUCCUGUCCUAACCCAUUGUUCCCACUUUCAAAAUAUGUUAAAACAAUAAUAAUAAAGCUAUUUCAAAUAUGCCA
rnacentral:lncRNA from 1 species